CCAACUGCGCCUUCCAUCUCCUACCCUCAUUCCGAAACCCUAGCCGCCCCCUCCAUGCCUUCGCCGAUUCGCUUCCUCUCUACCGCGAAAACUCUCUCCUCCUCCUCUGUUCCUGUUGCCAUGCCCACCCACAGCGACAACUGCCUCUCCUUCCUUGCCUCCCUCUUCCGCCGUGGCUUGCCCUCUGAAACCUUCUCAUUAGACCUCUCCGUGGACCCUGUCCGCCCCCUCCUGGUGUCACGCCAAUUCACGAAGGCGUCCCAGGUCUUCCUUUCCUUCACCUCUCCGUCCAUCUCUGACCCAUCUCUUCUUGACUCAAUGCUCCUUUGCUACUGCAAGCUCCGAGACCUUCCCCGGGCUCAAUCCCUUUUCCAUUCCAUCAUGAUAAAUAUAACAAAUUGCUCCUUAUGCUCUUGGAAGAGGAAAGUCUGCAGGCAGCUCACAAAACCUUUGACAUGAUGCUUAAGAGAGGAAGAACUCCAGAUAAUGAGGUAAAGAAACAGUUGCUCAAUGUUUGUUAUAAGCAUGGAGAAUACGAUCUGGCUUCAGUGAUUGACAAAAAUAUACCAGUUUAUGAGGUUCUGCCUGAAGGUUGAGUGAGCACCCAGAUGCCUUGUUUUUGUGCUAUCGGUGGAGUCAGGGACAUGACUACUGUUACUUCAAAACAACUAGGUGGGCAGUAGCAUAGUCUUCAAUUCUCAAUGCAGGCUACUCAAAUUGCAUUGUUUUAAGCUAGCUUGUAAUAUAGGACUCUGAAAUGACAGAAUAUUUAAUUUACAUUUUGUAAUAUACACUCUAGAACUUGGUUGUUUUCAAUUACCCUUAGUUGUCAUGGUUGCUAAAUCAAGUUGCCUGGGCGGAUGAUAAUUUUACAUUGACUCCUUAAUUUUAGUGAAUGAGUAUUCUAUUGUGAUGUUCA